rnacentral:rRNA from 3 species
GGUUAAGCGACUAAGCGUACACGGUGGAUGCCCUGGCAGUCAGAGGCGAUGAAGGGCGUGCUAAUCUGCGAUAAGCGCCGGUAAGGUGAUAUGAACCGUUAUAACCGGCGAUACCCGAAUGGGGAAACCCAGUGUGAUUCGUCACACUAUCAUUAACUGAAUCCAUAGGUUAAUGAGGCGAACCGGGGGAACUGAAACAUCUAAGUACCCCGAGGAAAAGAAAUCAACCGAGAUUCCCCCAGUAGCGGCGAGCGAACGGGGAGGAGCCCAGAGCCUGAAUCAGCAUGUGUGUUAGUGGAAGCGUCUGGAAAGGCGCGCGAUACAGGGUGACA